ACCUCAUGAUUUGGGCAUUGAGCGAUAUUUCCAUUAAACCUCUCCCAUGCUUCAAAAAAUGGUUCUCCAUUUAAUUUCUGAGAGCUUAUAAUCUCAUCUCACUUUUGAAGUA
rfam:Capsicum annuum cultivar Zunla-1 chromosome 3, whole genome shotgun sequence